CCUACGGGAGGCAGCAGUGGGGAAUUUUGGACAAUGGGCGCAAGCGUGAUCCAGCAAUGCCGCGUGCACGAAGAAGGCCUUCGGGUUGUAAACUGCUUUUGUACGGAACGAAAAGGCUCUGGUUAAUACCUGGCGCAUAUGACGGUACCGUAAGAAUAAGCACCGGCUAACUACGUGCCAGCAGCCGCGGUAAUACGUAGGGUGCUAGCGUUAAUCGGAAUUACUGGGCGUAAAGCGAGCGCAGGCGGUUUUGUAAGACAGGCGUGAAAUCCCCGGGCUCAACCUGGGAAUUGCGCUUGUGUCUGCAAGGCUGGAGUGCGGCAGACGGGGAUGGAAUUCCGCGUGUAGCAGUGAAAUCCGUAGAUAUGCGGAGGAAGACCGAUGGCGAAGGCAAUCCCCUGGGCCUGCACUGACGCUCUUGCACGAAAGCGUGGGGAGCAAACAGGAUUAGAUACCCUGGUAGUCCACGCCCUAAUCGAUGUCAACUGGUUGUUGGGUCUCUUCUGACUCAGUAACGAAGCUAACGCGUGAAGUA
rnacentral:rRNA from 1 species